rnacentral:tRNA from 1 species
UGCCGAAUAGCUCAGUUGGAGAGCGUUAGACUGAAGAUCUAAAGGUCCCUGGUUCAUCCGGGUUUCGGCAG